rnacentral:rRNA from 1 species
GAUGAACGCUGGCGGCGUGCUUAACACAUGCAAGUCGAACGAAGCAUUUAGGACAGAUUACUUCGGUUUGAAGUUCUUUAUGACUGAGUGGCGGACGGGUGAGUAACGCGUGGGUAACCUGCCUUGUACUGGGGGAUAGCAGCUGGAAACGGCUGGUAAUACCGCAUAAGCGCACAAUGUUGCAUGACAUGGUGUGAAAAACUCCGGUGGUAUAAGAUGGACCCGCGUCUGAUUAGCUAGUUGGUGAGAUAACAGCCCACCAAGGCGACGAUCAGUAGCCGACCUGAGAGGGUGACCGGCCACAUUGGGACUGAGACACGGCCCAGACUCAUACGGGAGGCAGCAGUGGGGAAUAUUGCACAAUGGAGGAAACUCUGAUGCAGCGACGCCGCGUGAGUGAAGAAGUAAUUCGUGAUGUAAAGCUCUAUCAGCAGGGAAGAUAGUGACGGUACCUGACUAAGAAGCUCCGGCUAAAUACGUG